rnacentral:rRNA from 1 species
UACGUAGGGUGCGAGCGUUAAUCGGAAUUACUGGGCGUAAAGCGUGCGCAGGCGGUUCGUUGUGUCUGAUGUGAAAGCCCCGGGCUCAACCUGGGAAUGGCAGUGGAAACUAGGGGACUGGAAUCUGGCAGAGGGGGGUGGAAUGCCGCGUGUAGCAGUGAAAUGCGUAGAGAUGCGGCGGAACACCGAUGGCGAAGGCAGCCCCCUGGGCUGAGAUUGACGCUC